GGGGGGUUGCCCAAGGUUAGGAUUCCUGCCCGCCCAGGCGGUUGAAUCUCUGGCACGCCAAGCUCAUUCCUAACCUGCGAUGAUUUAGUCUGGCUGUGUAGAUAACUACGUGAAAAUGUAGCUAAGGGAAGGCAGAAUAAGACGCAGGACUAUCAGUUAGUUGGUAGUGUAAUGGACUACCAAGACAGUGACGGUUGACGGGAAAUUAGGGUUUUGUACCGGAGAGGGAGCCUGAGAGAUUGCUCCCACGUCCAAGGACGGCAGCAGGCGCGAAAAUUGCCCACUCUUUGCAGGAGGCAGUUAUGAGACGUGAAGAUGAGUAUCUUGUAAAGAGGGAUAGGAGAAUUGGAGGGCAAGUUUGGUGCCAGCAGCCGCGGUAAUACCGACUCCAAGAGUGUGUAUGAGAGAUGCUGCAGUUAAAAAGUCCGUAGUCAUAGAAGGGCAAAGAGAGAUGCGAGGUCUCACAGUGCGAUGAUGGAGGAGCCGAUGGGGAACAUAGUAUACCAGGGCGAGAGAUGAAAUGCCAAGACCCCUGGUGGACUGAGCGAGGCGAAGGCGAUGUUCUUGUAGGCAUUCGGUGAUCAAGGACGAAGGCUGGAGUAUCGAAAGUGAUUAGAUACCGCAGUAGUUCCAGCAGUAAAAGAUGCCUACAUGCUCAUUGUACACAGUGGGCAGGGAGAAAUCUUAAAAGUUCGGGCUCUGGUGAUAGUAUGCUCGCAAGGGUGAAAAUUAAAUAAAUUGACGGAGCUACACCACAAGGAGUGGAUUGUGCGGCUUAAUUUGACUCAACGCGAGGAAACUUACCAGGGCCGAGUAUGGUGUAGAAGCGACCGUACGGGAAUGAGGGAUGGUCGUUGGAAAUGAUGCGAGCGCUUUGGACUUGAAUGGGUGAAUGGAGGG
rnacentral:rRNA from 1 species